GACGUAGGGCGCGAGCGUUGUCCGGAUUUAUUGGGCGUAAAGAGCUCGUAGGCGGCUUGUCGCGUCGUCCGUGAAAACCUGCAGCUCAACUGCAGGCUUGCGGUCGAUACGGGCAGGCUGGAGUUCGGUAGGGGAGACUGGAAUUCCUGGUGUAGCGGUGGAAUGCGUAGAGAUCCGGAAGAACACCGGAGGCGAAGGCGGCUUGCUGGGCUCGGUCUGACGCUGAGGCGCGAAAGCGUGGGGAGCGAACAGG
rnacentral:rRNA from 1 species